UGGUAAUGCCGGAUGCUCCAUCACACCGCAUGGUGUGUUGGGAAAGCCUUUGCGGCAUGGGAUGGGGUCGCGUCCUAUCAGCUUGAUGGCGGGGUAACGGCCCACCAUGGCUUCGACGGGUAGCCGGCCUGAGAGGGCGACCGGCCACAUUGGGACUGAGAUACGGCCCAGACUCCUACGGGAGGCAGCAGUGGGGAAUAUUGCACAAUGGGCGCAAGCCUGAUGCAGCGACGCCGCGUGAGGGAUGGAGGCCUUCGGGUUGUAAACCUCUUUUGUUAGGGAGCAAGGCACUUUGUGUUGAGUGUACCUUUCGAAUAAGCACCGGCUAACUACGUGCCAGCAGCCGCGGUAAUACGUAGGGUGCAAGCGUUAUCCGGAAUUAUUGGGCGUAAAGGGCUCGUAGGCGGUUCGUCGCGUCCGGUGUGAAAGUCCAUCGCUUAACGGUGGAUCCGCGCCGGGUACGGGCGGGCUUGAGUGCGGUAGGGGAGACUGGAAUUCCCGGUGUAACGGUGGAAUGUGUAGAUAU
rnacentral:rRNA from 1 species